AUGUCCCAGGGUGAGAAGUGCGACGGACAGACUAUUGACAGGAGCUUUGAGGAAAAGUGUGCCAUAUAUCCCCUAGUCGGGCAGGAGGUGAAGCGGCUCGCUGGAGAGCAUCCUGGUCUCAAAAGCUCCUUCACUGAAUUAGAUGGCAAGAUUGCGCUCUUGAUGGAGAAGGAACUGAAUAAAGUUGCAUGGAAGGAACUGAAGAUCCAGAUUGAGAUGGAUACAAAGGUACAAGCACCGAAGGCAAGGGUGAGGAAAGAGCUUGUCAGUUUGCUGGCAUUGGUUUCUAAGAAAGGAUGA
rnacentral:rRNA from 1 species